UAAUUCUUUCAGUGAUUGUAAUUCUAUGCUUGUGUUCUUUCUUCCACAGUUAGGCUCUGGUAUUAUAGGCUACCGAAUCUACAACUAUGUGGUUAUAGAACCACAAAUGAUACAAAAUAUUUCAGAGGGGAAGUUGGGAAAUCUUGACUCAUCUCGUUCGUAUCAUGAAUUUUACGCAAUUUGGUCUGUUUUGCUGUUACAUUUAGCUUGGCCCCAAAUUUUCAAAUACACCAGUUUCAAAUACAACUCGUCGCUUUUCAAGCUCUGGAAGGAGAUUACUGCAAUUUCAGUUGUCUUCAUCGUUAUUUUUGUGACAUAUCUUCAGAUCAUUAACUCGAAAUAUUGCGAUUACAGAUAACAUCCUCGGUAUUAGUUAGACCAGUAAUUUCCAUGUAGCUCAGGUGAAUGAUUUCCAAACAUUUUCGACGACUGCCUCAACACUUUGAAAAAUUGAUGUCAAAACUUGGAUAUGAAAGGCAGAAUGGCGGGGAAGAUAAUAAUCCAGAUAAUGACAAAUAUUCAUACAAAGAAAUUAUAGAAUUUUUCUUAAAGUAAAUUUAAAAAUAUUAAUGUCUAGUUAAUUCUGAUUUAGUACAGAUUUCUAUGUGUAUUUAUUUAAUAACAUAUUACAGUAAUUCAAAUCUAAAAGUCUGUAAUGAUGGUGCGUUUCUAAAGUAAAAAUUAUUCUGGAUGUUUUCCGUAGUCUAAUAAAGUCAUGAAAUUGCAGGAUGUUUCGGUGAUGGGACUGUAUCUCCGUCUUCAGGUAUACAUCCUCACUUGGGCCCAAUCGAUACAACUAAUCCCUAUAUCCUGUGUACGGUUUUAGGAAUUAGCUCUGAGCCAUGCCUUAUGGCUCGAAGUGGCUUAUCUCCCCUCUCUAAGUUCUUUGGAGUCUGCGGCUUCGAGACCCUGAUGAGACAGCAGGGCAAUUAGGACAGUCUGUGUGUGUCCGCCGGAGAGAGAACGACUCGAGGAGAAAGACGGAAGGCAAGUCAGGGUUUGUGGGGGUUGAGUUGGGCAUCUGGAGUCGCAUACCCGGCCGGAGUUUGAGACCUGAAAGGUGUCUUGGUUCCGUUUAUCUUAUAUUUAAAUAUUUCUCAUUAAAUAAUCUACUUCGAUUAUUCGAAGUAGAUUCAUUUGGUUUUCUUCUAUUACUUUUCACCGCUUUACCCUCCCCAAGCCGUACCACCUCCCGGCCUGGGACGAUCGUGGCCUCAGUAGCGUAAUCCGCCAGUCCCCUUCUCAGGGGGGUUCAGCUCUACCUAUUAGUCCUAGCAGAUAGAGUCACAUCCCCGAAACGUGUAAUUUUAUGAUAUUUUUAGACGAUGGAAAACACUUAGAAAACCUUAUAUUUUACUACAGUUAUAUUCGUUUAUCUCUUCAGACAGAAUUUCAAUAUUGAAGACAAAAUGUUGUUGAUUAACAUUUUUAUUACACUACAGAACCUUGGUGAAAUUAAAUUUGCGUGAACUUAUUUUUGAUUUGA